GUCUAAAACGAUAGAUACGUUACAAUUGUAUAACUUGGUUAUACAAUUGUAACGUAUCUAUCGAUCAGUCGAGCAAUAUCAAAAUACAAUUUGUCAAAAUCUUUAAAAAAUCCUCAAAAUAAAUAUAUUACUAAUAUACUACUAAAUAGAAAUUUUAAAUACAUACAUAAUUUUUCCAACAAGUGUAGUAAUUUCCAUGUACUGUGAUUAAAAACUCUUAACUUUUUGCGCUUCAAGUGCUGAUCUAGUUAGUGCUUAAAAAAUUUGGAAUUUUACUCUACGUAUCAACUAUUGCUAAUUGACAGUAACGAAAAAAAUCACGCUAAAACGUAAUAUAUUAUUUCUCUUUUAAUACUUCAAUAAGUAUAACAUAUACGACACACGAGCACGAACGCACGCACGCAUACUUAUUGUAAAAAUCGCAAGUGAAUUAACAUUACAAUACGCGAAGUAAACUGUCAACAUUGCUCCAAAUCUGUCAAGCGCAAAGAGUUAAUAAAGUUUUAAUUGAAACUUUGUUACAGUGAGGAAAUAUAUAUAAAAUAUUUAAAAAAUUUUUUAAAUUCUAAAAUUAUUGUUAUAGAUAAUAAUUUUUCUUAACAUUUUUGCUAAGAAAAAAUCAAAUUCGUCGAAAAAUCUACCUUAGAAAGAUAAUGCGUAGAGAUAUAGGAUAUCCAAUAAUUUGGCCCUAUUUAUAACUUGAUCUAUUAUGAUCCAAUACGAUUGCAUUCCGAUUGUCGAAGGAAAUGAAUUCCCAAAGUGGAUAUUACUUUUACAGGAUUAAAAGAUGCGAUUUUAGGAAUGUGACUUCUGUAUUUAUGCUGAUAAGUCGAGAACUUUCUCACUUGGAUAAUGAUCCUUUUGAUCUGAAUAACGAUGUUGUGAUCAAUUAUUCUCGAAAGAAAUUUGAUUCUGAGAAUUAUCACAACUAUUUCGGACACUACUCUUACAAAGAGAAUCAGAGAUUUCAUGUUGUUGACGAAUUAAAGAAAAGAAUGAGAGAAUACAACAUACGGGCAGAAACUGCUUGUCAAAAAGAUGUAUUUGAACGAAAUAUAUAAUAUAUUUAAGUUAAAUAUAUAAUUUAUAAAUUCAAGUAUUUUAUGUGUAAAAAUUAAAUACAUAAGUAUCUGAAUUGAUAUUUGAAAGUACUUAAUCAUAUAGAAAACUGUAGUGGUUAACAACUUGUUUCUCAGCGUAGUACAGCUGUUACGCAUUUUACAAUAGCGUAGUUGUAAAAUACGUAGUUGUAAGUGGUUGUACAGUAAUGCAAGACAAUUAUUUGUCCACUUCUAUCAAUAUAAAUUAACUUUAAUCUCGAUUUUUUUUAAUAAAAAAGAAACUAAAUUGAGAUGAAAGCUAAUUAGAAAUUAAUUAGAAAUAAACAUACAACUGCGCUUUACAACUACUUACGACUAUAUAUAAUUACACUAUUGUAGAACAACUCUAAGGGCCGGGUGUUUAAAACAGCUGACUACAGCUCACUCAUAUAACGAUGCAAUUUGUAUAUUGCUGUAUAUAUGUCCCAUUUACACAAUAUUCAUAUACAUCGUGUCUCUACUUUAUUCCAAUUAAAUCGCAAAGCUUAUUAGUAUUGUAUCAAUAACAAUUAGUAUUGUAUCUAUAUGCAUUUUAUAGUAUGCAUGGUUAAACCGAUAACCUAUGUCAAAUUUCUGUAUAAAAAAAUUAAAAAUUAUCGUUACCAAUAAAAAUAAUAUUAUACAAUGAUAAUUCUCAAUUCCAAAUUUAAAAUUAAAUAUCACAUAUCUAAAAUAUUUUAAAAGCACAUUUCUUUAAUUGUUAAAUUUUAUUAAUCCUUUAAUUACAUGCUUGCACCACUUAUAUGAAAUAUGAUACUUGUGAUAUCAGCUCUUAAAAGCGAAUGAUUUAUUUAUUCAGUUAGAUACUACUCUAGGGUUUUCCAUAGUACAUGGAAGUCUCAAUAACUUUCGUAACAGGUGAAUAUUUUCACAUAACUACGUUCGAGAACAUACCACACUAUAUCUAACGAUUUGCAAUCCAUUAGCAUGGAAAUACGAUAAAACUUUGCAACAGCCAACCACAGUUAUCAUAUCAUUAUUCUACCGUUACUAUUCUGACGCGCAACUAUAUGCCAAUUGCACCACGCGGUUUAUUAUGGAACAUAAUAUAUAUAAACACGGCCACAUGCCAAAUGCAUGUAAAAUGUGAUACCAAUAUGAUUGCAACAAUCAUUAAUAUUUGUAGAAUUCUAUAUUAAACAAUUCUAUAUUAAAUUAUAAUUGCUUUAUUUAUUUUGGAAAACUACAGAAAUUGCAUAAUCCAUAUGUAAUUAGUGCUCCUAUAAUCAAUUUCUAAUUUAAUGCUUAGAUAAUUACGAAUAAACAUAUUAAUGAUAAAAAUAAUCGUAAAUAUAUCGUGUACUGAUAAUAAACUGAAGGCCUCGCAAUGUUUCGAUUUACUUUGCGAACAAAUAUGUUACUUGUGCCUCUGAGAAAUAUUCGAAAGAAAAUGAAUUAUAAGAAGAGAAAAGAAUAGUCUAAAAAUAAUUAGUUUCCUACAAAUAAAAUUUUUUUAGAGUUUAAAAAACAUCCUAAGAUGCAUCCUUUAUACAGAAUCAUGGUUAACAAUUAUCAAUAUCGAAUAAACAAAAUAUUGUGUACAAUAUUUAGGUAAAAUACGCCAAA
rnacentral:lncRNA from 1 species